rnacentral:rRNA from 1 species
UACGUAGGGGGCAAGCGUUGUCCGGAAUCAUUGGGCGUAAAGCGCGCGUAGGUGGCCCGGUAAGUCCGCUCUGAAAGUCAAAGGCUCAACCUUUGAAAGCGGGUGGAUACUGUCGGGCUAGAGUCCGGAAGAGGCGAGUGGAAUUCCUGGUGUAGCGGUGGAAUGCGCAGAUAUCAGGAGGAACACCAACGGCGCAGGCAGCGUCCUGGCCGCUUGCUGACACUGAGGCACGAAAGCUGGGGGAGCAAACAGG